AUUAUGAAGGAAGCAGUCUCCUAAAUUCAAAUGGCAUAAUGAAGCUUAGUGAAAACUGGUUCCUCUGGAAUGAAAUUGUGACUUCAGCAUUUAUGGGUUCCCAGGACAACUACCUAGAAGGACAUACCUGCGUCAGAGCAAGACAACAGCAAAAAAUCCUCGCAGGAACAUAUUACACAGGUUGCAUAGGUAUUCAUAAUCUACAUUAAAGUCCUUGAACUAUGGA